UACGUAGGGUGCAAGCGUUGUCCGGAAUUAUUGGGCGUAAAGAGCUCGUAGGCGGUUUGUCGCGUCUGCUGUGAAAUCCCGAGGCUCAACCUCGGGCUUGCAGUGGGUACGGGCAGACUAGAGUGCGGUAGGGGAGAUUGGAAUUCCUGGUGUAGCGGUGGAAUGCGCAGAUAUCAGGAGGAACACCGAUGGCGAAGGCAGGUCUCUGGGCAGUUACUGACGCUGAGGAGCGAAAGCAUGGGGAGCGAACAGG
rnacentral:rRNA from 1 species